CCCAAGGGUACUCAGCAGUGAUAAAUAUUAAGCCAUGAGUGAAAACUUGACUUAAUUAUAGUUAAGAGGGCCGGUAAAACUCGUGCCAGCCACCGCGGUUAUACGAGAGGCCCAAGUUGACAGACAACGGCGUAAAGGGUGGUUAGGGAUUACAAUAAACUAAAGCUAAACAACCUCAAAUCUGUUAUAAGUACUCGAGAGUUUGAAACCCAACUACGAAAGUGGCUUUAAUUAACCUGAACCCACGAAAGCUAAGAAACAAACUGGGAUUAGAUACCCCACUAUGCUUAGCCCUAAACAUCGAUUUAAUACCCCAUUAAAUCCGCCUGGGGACUACGAACGUAUGUUUAAAACCCCAAGGACUUGGCGGUGCUUUAUAUCCACCUAGAGGAGCCUGUUCUAGAACCGAUGAUCCCCGUUAAACCUCACCUUCUCUUGCAAUAUCCGCCUAUAUACCACCGUCGUCAGCUUACCCUGUGAAGGGACGACAGUAAGCACAAUUGGUACAACCCAAAACGUCAGGUCGAGGUGUAGCGAAUGAGAGGGGAAGAAAUGGGCUACAUUUGCUAGCAUAGCAAAUACGGACGAUGCAUUGAAACAUGCAACUGAAGGAGGAUUUAGUAGUAAGCAGAAAAUAGAGUGUUUAGCUGAAACUGGCCCUAAAGCGCGCACAUACCGCCCGUCACCCUCCCCGAGCUAAGAAGUCGACAUAACUAAUCCCCUACACCUGUAAAGGGGAGGC
rnacentral:rRNA from 1 species